rnacentral:rRNA from 1 species
UACGGAGGAUGCGAGCGUUAUCCGGAUUUAUUGAGUUUAAAGGGUGCGUAGGCGGGCUUUUAAGUCAGCGGUAAAAAUUCGGGGCUCAACCCCGUCCGGCCGUUGAAACUGGGGGCCUUGAGUGGGCGAGAAGAAGGCGGAAUGCGUGGUGUAGCGGUGAAAUGCAUAGAUAUCACGCAGAACCCCGAUUGCGAAGGCAGCCUUCCGGCGCCCUACUGACGCUGAGGCACGAAAGUGCGGGGAUCGAACAGG